rnacentral:rRNA from 1 species
UACGUAGGAGGCGAGCGUUGUCCGGAGUUACUGGGCGUAAAGGGUGCGCAGGCGGCGGUGCGCGUGGCGAGAUGAAAUCUCCUGGCUUACCUGGGAGGGUGGUCGCCAGACGGCAUCGCUUGAAUCUGGCAGAGGGGGGUAGAAUUCCACGUGUAGCAGUGAAAUGCGUAGAGAUGUGGAGGAACACCGAUGGCGAAGGCAGCCCCCCUGGGUCAAGAUUGACGCUCAUGCACGAAAGCGUGGGGAGCAAACAGG